GUCUUAAAGAAGCGACCACGAAUUCUGUUUUAGGUGUCAAAGAAACGACCACUCCCCAUGGAUACAAAGACAAGACAACUUCUUCUACCAGCGCUUCAACCGCCAUUGGCACAUCACCUUGGUCAACUAAGGAAGCCUUUUUCUCUACUUUUCGCCCACAAACUACAAAAGUUGAACAGAGUACAGAUAAGUGUGACGUCACAUACAAGAAAAAAUGCUACCGAGCAGUUGUGUAUGAUGUACAGAACGUUACAUUCAACGAUGCCGAAGCAAUCUGCAAAUCAGUGAACGGAAAACCCGCGAAUAUUUAC